rnacentral:rRNA from 1 species
AGUGAACGCUGGCGGUAGGCCUAACACAUGCAAGUCGAACGGCAGCACAGUAAGAUCUUGCUCUUACGGGUGGCGAGUGGCGGACGGGUGAGGAAUACAUCGGAAUCUACUUUUUCGGGGGGGAUAACGUAGGGAAACUUACGCUAAUACCGCAUACGACCUACGGGUGAAAGCAGGGGAUCUUCGGACCUUGCGCGAUUGAAUGAGCCGAUGUCGGAUUAGCUAGUUGGCGGGGUAAAGGCCCACCAAGGCGACGAUCCGUAGCUGGUCUGAGAGGAUGAUCAGCCACACUGGAACUGAGACACGGUCCAGACUCCUACGGGAGGCAGCAGUGGGGAAUAUUGGGCAAUGGGCGAAAGCCUGAUCCAGCCAUACCGCGUGGGUGAAGAAGGCCUUCGGGUUGUAAAGCCCUUUUGUUGGGAAAGAAAAGCAGCAGGUUAAUACCCCGCUGUUCUGACGGUACCCAAAGAAUAAGCACCGGCUAACUUCGUG